CAGUAGCCACGGUAAUACGUAGGGUGCAAGCGUUAAUCGGAAUUACUGGGCGGAAAGCGUGCGCAGGCGGUUUGUUAAGACAGAUGUGAAAUCCCCGGGCUCAACCUGGGAACUGCAUUUGUGACUGGCAGGCUAGAGUAUGGCAGAGGGGGGUGGAAUUCCGCGUGUAGCAGUGAAAUGCGUAGAUAUGCGGAGGAACACCGAUGGCGAAGGCAGCCCCCUGGGCCAAUACUGACGCUCAUGCACGAAAGCGUGGGGAGCAAACAGGAUUAGAUACCCCUGUAGUCCCUGUCUCUUAUAC
rnacentral:rRNA from 1 species